rnacentral:tRNA from 3 species
GCGAUUGUAGCUCAGCUGGUAGAGCGCGACCUUGCCAAGGUCGAGGCCACGGGUUCGAACCCCGUCAAUCGCUCCA